UACAGAGGGGGCAAGCGUUAUUCGGAAUUAUUGGGCGUAAAGGGCGCGUAGGCGGCUUUGCAAGUGGCGGGUGAAAUCCCUCGGCUUAACCGAGGAACUACCUGUCAAACUGCAUGGCUUGAGACCAGGAGAGGUGAGUGGAAUUCCCAGUGUAGCGGUGAAAUGCGUAGAUAUUGGGAGGAACACCAGUGGCGAAGGCGGCUCACUGGACUGGUACUGACGCUGAUGCGCGAAAGCGUGGGGAGCAAACAGG
rnacentral:rRNA from 1 species